rnacentral:rRNA from 2 species
UACGUAGGGUGCGAGCGUUAAUCGGAAUUACUGGGCGUAAAGCGUGCGCAGGCGGCUUUGCAAGACAGAUGUGAAAUCCCCGGGCUCGACCUGGGAACUGCAUUUGUGACUGCAAGGCUAGAGUACGGCAGAGGGGGAUGGAAUUCCGCGUGUAGCAGUGAAAUGCGUAGAUAUGCGGAGGAACACCAAUGGCGAAGGCAAUCCCCUGGGCCUGUACUGACGCUCAUGCACGAAAGCGUGGGGAGCAAACAGG